UGGGUCUUUUCACGCUUGUUUCAUUUCCUUCUCCUUUCCGGCUUCUAGUUCCUUAUUUCACCUCUCUUGGUAGGCUCAAAACAGUAUAAUUUUAAGGCUUGAUUUCUUGAUUUUUGUUUUGAUUUGGGUUGUUUUAGGAAGAUUUUCGGUAGAGAAUCUGAAUGGGCAUUGUAAAUUUUUUUUUUUUUUGGAUCGUUUUGUGGUGUUUGGGUUGGCUGCAACCGCUUCUCCGACUCCAAGCGCUCCAUCGAGGCCCAUAUCGUCAAGUCCCGACUCGACCACCCCACGGAUCCAAGCGAGGUCAAAUAAUGCCGUGGGUUUUUUAUUUGUUCAUAGGCUGAGGAACUGUAGGGUUUAUGCUGGGCCGGUGAUAGGCUCGGCUCUGAUUGACGAAGCUGAGGGGUGUGUUUUUGUGAUGGCGUCGCAUCAAAUUCGGAUUCAUAAUGCAGAUAGCUUCCCAUUGCCUUAUUGGAGCGAGUUAAGGAAGAUUUCAACAAGAGAUAUGGUGGAGGGAAAGCUGGACUGCCGUUGCCAAUGGCCUCAAUAAAGAGUUUGGGCCCAAACUGAAGGAGCACAUGCAGUACUGUGUGGAUCAUCCUGAAGAGAUAAGCAAGCUUGUGAAAGUGAAGGCUCACGUUUCUGAAGUCAAGGGUGUUAUGAUGGAAAAUAUUGAGAAGGUAUAUGAAUACCCUUCGUAAUAAGAGAGUUGAACUCUUUGAUAUGGGAGUAGGAGUUAGUGAACCUACAGCUGAUGACAAUGUCCAAGUAUCAUCAUGCAGAUAGCUUCCCAUUGCCUUAUUGGAGCGAGUUAAGGAAGAUUUCAACAAGAGAUAUGGUGGAGGGAAAGCUGGACUGCCGUUGCCAAUGGUCUGAAUAAAUAG